rnacentral:rRNA from 1 species
UAGGGAAUCUUCGGCAAUGGACGAAAGUCUGACCGAGCAACGCCGCGUGAGUGAAGAAGGUUUUCGGAUCGUAAAACUCUGUUGUUAGAGAAGAACAAGGACGUUAGUAACUGAACGUCCCCUGACGGUAUCUAACCAGAAAGCCACGGCUAACUACGUGCCAGCAGCCGCGGUAAUACGUAGGUGGCAAGCGUUGUCCGGAAUUAUUGGGCGUAAAGCGAGCGCAGGCGGUUUCUUAAGUCUGAUGUGAAAGCCCCCGGCUCAACCGGGGAGGGUCAUUGGAAACUGGGAGACUUGAGUGCAGAAGAGGCGAGUGGAAUUCCAUGUGUAGCAGUGAAAUGCGUAGAUAUAUGGAGGAACACCAGUGGCGAAGGCGGCUCUCUGGUCUGUAACUGACGCUGAGGCUCGAAAGCGUGGGGAGCAAACAGG